rnacentral:lncRNA from 1 species
UUAAUUUAUGUAUAUAGAUGCAAAUGAUGAAAUCUGAAUUUUGUGGAAACUGAUGUGCAAAUGUCCAGACAUAAUAUGUCAGAUCUUGGUGAAGUAAGUUAUGAGGUUGUAUAUAAGGGUUUAAAAUGUUUUUAUGUUAAAUUUAAGCAAAAAAAUGUGUUUUUCUUAUUUGUGCAAUGCAGUCAUCUAAUCAAGGAUACAACAAAUCAAAACGAGCUAAAAAAGCUUAAGUUGUUGCUACCACAAGAGAAGGAAAUGAAGGCAUAAGAAUAUUAGAGAGAUGUUCUAAUUCUGUGCGACAUGAUAAAGAAGUCUUGCCUAAUAGCAUCAAUACUACUGAAAAAGGAAAGAAAGGAAGGGGUCGAGCAAAGCUGAACUAUCUCAACAAGGGAAAAUGUGCAAAGUUAACUGUAGAAUUUAAUGAAAGAGGGCAACCAAUUUGUAAAGAGUCAAAUAAGUUAUCGUCAUUCCUUGGAACCACAGCUAGGGAACUUAUACCUAUUACAAAGAAAAAUUGGAAAGAUUUAAGCGAAAGUUUUCUUGAUGACAUAUGGGAGCUUGUGCAGGUGAUAUAAACUUCACAUCAUAUAUAGUUUAUAUUAAAUUAAUAUUAAUAUUAAUCUUACAUAUUUUGACGCAGCAAAGGUUUGAUAUUAACAUUUGUCAUAGAAAGUACAUUAUGCAAAAAUUGGGAAAGAGUUGGAGAGAUCAUCGAUCUAAUAUGCUGAAAACAAUCAGCGACAAAGGAAGAACAAUUGGCAUGAAAUGAGCUGCUGCUCUCCUCAAGACAGAUAACGUUGACUCAAUGGAAGAAUGGCAAGCAUUUGUCAAAGAACUCAAUUCUCAACCAUAGAAGGUUCCAUUGCUUUUAUAUACUAAAUGUGCCAUAAUGUUGUGCUUGUACUAUAAUUGUUUGAUUUUGCAGGAAAAGAAUGAUAGAUUCAAAAAG